AUUGAACGCUGGCGGCAUGCCUUACACAUGCAAGUCGAACGGCAGCACGGGUGCUUGCACCUGGUGGCGAGUGGCGAACGGGUGAGUAAUACAUCGGAACGUACCUUAUCGUGGGGGAUAACGCAGCGAAAGCUGUGCUUAUACCGCAUACGCCCUGAGGGGGAAAGCGGGGGAUCGAAAGACCUCGCGCGAUUAGAGCGGCCGAUGCCUGAUUAGCUUGUUGGUGGGGUAAAAGCCCACCAAGGCGACGAUCAGUAGCUGGUCUGAGAGGACGAUCAGCCACGCUGGGACUGAGACACGGCCCAGACUCCUACGGGAGGCAGCAGUGGGGAAUUUUGGACAAUGGGGGCAACCCUGAUCCAGCAAUGCAGCGGGAGUGAAGAAGGCCUUCGGGUUGUAAAGCUCUUUUGUCAGGGAAGAAACACCGGCUCUAACACAGUCCGGGAAUGACGGUACCUGAAGAAUAAGCACCGGCUAACUACGUGCCAGCCGCCGCCGUAA
rnacentral:rRNA from 1 species